rnacentral:rRNA from 1 species
GAUGAACGCUGGCGGCGUGCUUAACACAUGCAAGUCGAGCGAGAAGUUUUGAAAAGAUUCUUCGGAUGAAAUUUAAAAUGGAAAGCGGCGGACGGGUGAGUAACGCGUAGGCAACCUGCCCCAUACAAAGGGAUAGCAUUUGGAAACGAAUAUUAAUACCUUAUGAAACUUAACUAGUGCAUGCUAGGUAGGUCAAAGAUUUAUCGGUAUGGGAUGGGCCUGCGUCUGAUUAGCUAGUUGGUGAGGUAACGGCCCACCAAGGCGACGAUCAGUAGCCGACCUGAGAGGGUGAACGGCCACAUUGGAACUGAGACACGGUCCAAACUCCUACGGGAGGCAGCAGUGGGGAAUAUUGCACAAUGGGGGAAACCCUGAUGCAGCAACGCCGCGUGAGCGAUGAAGGCCUUUGGGUCGUAAAGUUCUGUUCUAGGUGAUGAAAACUGACAGUAACCUAGGAGAAAGCCCCGGCUAACUCCGUG